rnacentral:rRNA from 1 species
UACGGAGGGUGCAAGCAUUGAUCGGAAUUACUGGGCGUAAAGGGCGCGUAGGCGGUUUGGAAAGUCAGGUGUGAAAUUCCGGGGCUCAACUCCGGAGCUGCACUUGAAACUUCCAAGCUAGAGUACAGUUAGGGAAAACGGAAUUCCACGUGUAGCGGUGAAAUGCGUAGAUAUGUGGAAGAACACCAGUGGUGAAGACGGUUUUCUGGGCUGAAACUGACGCUGAGGCGCGAAAGCAAGGGGAGCAAACAGG